UUUCAAGGGUAAAGGCUAAGCUUUGUGGUUGGAAGUCUAAGUUACCUAAUCUGGUACAAAAGCACAUUUUAAUACAAUCCACUUUGACAUCUAUGCCUCAAUAUUACAUGUCUUGUUAUCUUCUUCCCCAAGCACUCCUGAAUCCUCCCUUUGGGGUAGAUUAAUGAAACAAAAUUAUUUCCCUAUGUGAUCCACUUCUUAAAGGUCUCUAUAAGGUUUGAUCGGUCACUCUAUCCGUGACUGAUCCACAGAUACCUAGAGGUACCCCUUUUGUACCCUCUCUUCCUUUUGUGGUGGAUGCUACUAGGUUUGUGCCAGAUUUAAUUGAUCCUAUUUUCAGAUGUUGAAAUAUUGAAUUGAUUUAUUUUUGGGAGCCUCAUGAGACAAGAUUAAAGUGUGAUGUACAAGCCUUUCAUCCAAUUCAGCUUCUUAGUUUUGCAAUCCAAGUUGCAUAACAGAGACUUGUUUAAAGAAAGAAUUGCGUAUCAAGAAGUGAAAAGUAGCUGACAACUUGAGUAGCAAGGGAGACAGUAUAGCUGUAACAGCUCUUUCCAUUAGUAGAAGGCAAAACCAAACAAGAUUAUUUCAGUGAUCUGCUUAAUUUUGAUAGUCAACCAUCUCCCAAAUGGGUUUUUUGAUCCUGUUGGAUCAAAUCUUUCUACAAUGUGAAGAAUGUAGCACCUAGCCAUUCAAUGAAGUAAGUUUUUUUUUAUUGGGGACCUGUUCAUAUAUAUGCCCCUUUGCAAAAUAUAACACAAGCCCCUUUUGUCUAAACUAUUGGAUCAAAUAUGCAAACACAUCCUAAAGGCAAGGAUGAAUGGAAGCCUUACUAGUAUCAUUUUCUGUUAGGGUUAAGGAAUAAAGAUUUUUUUUUACUUUUUGGA